rnacentral:rRNA from 1 species
UACGUAGGGUGCAAGCGUUGUCCGGAAUCAUUGGGCGUAAAGCGCGCGUAGGUGGCUUCGUAAGUCCGUUGUGAAAGUCAAAGGCUCAACCUUUGAAAGCCGAUGGAUACUGCGGAGCUAGAGUACGGAAGAGGCGAGUGGAAUUCCUGGUGUAGCGGUGGAAUGCGCAGAUAUCAGGAGGAACACCAAUAGCGAAGGCAGCUCGCUGGGACGUUUACUGACACUAAGGCGCGAAAGCGUGGGGAGCGAACAGG